CCUACGGGUGGCAGCAGUGGGGAAUAUUGCACAAUGGGCGAAAGCCUGAUGCAGCAACGCCGCGUGAGCGAUGAAGGCCUUCGGGUCGUAAAGCUCCGUCCUCAAGGAAGAUAAUGACGGUACUUGAGGAGGAAGCCCCGGCUAACUACGUGCCAGCAGCCGCGGUAAUAGGUAGGGGGCUAGCGUUAUCCGGAAUUACGGGGCGUAAAGGGUGCGUAGGUGGUUUUUUAAGUCAGAGGGGAAAGGCUACGGCUCAACCGUAGUAAGCCUUUGAUACUGGGAGACUUGAGUGCAGGAGAGGAAGGUGGAAUUCGUGGUGUAGCGGUGAAAUGCGUAGAUAUUAGGAAGAACACCAGUUGCGAAGGCGGCUCUCUAGACUGUAACUGACACUGAGGCACGAAAGCGUGGGGAGCAAACAGGAUUAGAUACCCGAGUAGUC
rnacentral:rRNA from 1 species